GUGGGGAAUCUUGCGCAAUGGGCGAAAGCCUGACGCAGCAACGCCGCGUGCGGGAUGAAGGCCUUCGGGUUGUAAACCGCUUUCAGCAGGGACGAAAAUGACGGUACCUGCAGAAGAAGCUCCGGCUAACUACGUGCCAGCAGCCGCGGUAAUACGUAGGGAGCAAGCGUUGUCCGGAUUUAUUGGGCGUAAAGAGCUCUUAGGCGGUUUCGUAAGUCGAGUGUGAAAAAUCUGGGCUUAACCCAGUGGAGCACUCGAUACUGCGAUGAGUUAAGUCUGGGAGAGGAGUGGGGAAUUCCUGGUGUAGCGGUGAAAUGCGCAGAUAUCAGGAGGAACACCAACGGCGAAGGCAGCACUCUGGGCCAGUACUGACGCUGAGGAGCGAAAGCGUGGGGAGCAAACAGGAUUAGAUACCCGAGUAGUCC
rnacentral:rRNA from 1 species